rnacentral:rRNA from 1 species
GUGGGGAAUCUUGCGCAAUGGGCGAAAGCCUGACGCAGCCAUGCCGCGUGAAUGAUGAAGGUCUUAGGAUUGUAAAAUUCUUUCACCGGGGACGAUAAUGACGGUACCCGGAGAAGAAGCCCCGGCUAACUUCGUGCCAGCAGCCGCGGUAAUACGAAGGGGGCUAGCGUUGCUCGGAAUUACUGGGCGUAAAGGGCGCGUAGGCGGAUCGUUAAGUCAGGGGUGAAAUCCCAGAGCUCAACUCUGGAACUGCCCUUGAUACUGGCGAUCUUGAGUGUGAGAGAGGUAUGUGGAACUCCGAGUGUAGAGGUGAAAUUCGUAGAUAUCCGGAAGAACACCAGUGGCGAAGGCGACAUACUGGCUCAUUACUGACGCUGAGGCGCGAAAGCGUGGGGAGCAAACAGGAUUAGAAACCCCAGUAGUCC